CUGAUUGAGAUUUUAACACGAAGUGAGUGGCGAACGGGUGAGUAACACGUGGGUAACCUGCCCAGAAGUAGGGGAUAACACCUGGAAACAGAUGCUAAUACCGUAUAACAGAGAAAACCGCAUGGUUUUCUUUUAAAAGAUGGCUCUGCUAUCACUUCUGGAUGGACCCGCGGCGUAUUAGCUAGUUGGUGAGGUAAAGGCUCACCAAGGCAGUGAUACGUAGCCGACCUGAGAGGGUAAUCGGCCACAUUGGGACUGAGACACGGCCCAGACUCCUACGGGAGGCAGCAGUAGGGAAUCUUCCACAAUGGACGCAAGUCUGAUGGAGCAACGCCGCGUGAGUGAAGAAGGGUUUCGGCUCGUAAAGCUCUGUUGUUAAAGAAGAACGUGGGUAAGAGUAACUGUUUACCCAGUGACGGUAUUUAACCAGAAAGCCACGGCUAACUACGUGCCAGCAGCCGCGGUAAUACGUAGGUGGCAAGCGUUAUCCGGAUUUAUUGGGCGUAAAGCGAGCGCAGGCGGUCUUUUAAGUCUAAUGUGAAAGCCUUCGGCUCAACCGAAGAAGUGCAUUGGAAACUGGGAGACUUGAGUGCAGAAGAGGACAGUGGAACUCCAUGUGUAGCGGUGAAAUGCGUAGAUAUAUGGAAGAACACCAGUGGCGAAGGCGGCUGUCUGGUCUGCAACUGACGCUGAGGCUCGAAAGCAUGGGUAGCGAACAGGAUUAGAUACCCUGGUAGUCCAUGCCGUAAACGAUGAUUACUAAGUGUUGGAGGGUUUCCGCCCUUCAGUGCUGCAGCUAACGCAUUAAGUAAUCCGCCUGGGGAGUACGACCGCAAGGUUGAAACUCAAAGAAUUGACGGGGGCCCGCACAAGCGGUGGAGCAUGUGGUUUAAUUCGAAGCUACGCGAAGAACCUUACCAGGUCUUGACAUCUUCUGACAGUCUAAGAGAUUAGAGGUUCCCUUCGGGGACAGAAUG
rnacentral:rRNA from 1 species